rnacentral:misc_RNA from 1 species
UUCUGGGUUCAAUUUGGUUUCUGAUUAGCACAAGCAAAAUGAAGUAUCUGACUUUCUGCGAAAAUCUCUUCAAGUUAUCUGGCUGUGCUUAGUUGAAUGGAUCUAUGGCUCUUUUGAAAGGUUGAUCGUUUAUUGGAUCACAGUAGGAGUAGAGGGAUAAGAUUUGAGAUUUCCUGGUUCUUACUAUAUUCUGCAAACUAAAUACAAUUGGUUUAGUUGGACUAUAGAGUUUGUUAGACAAAGUUUCCUAUAGAGUGAAUGGGCCCUAAGGAUUUGGGUUUGUUAAAGUCCAAUGCUUUUGGGUAAAAUUUAGAUCCGCUUUUUGCAUAUCUGGGUUGAUGCCGUUCUUUUAGUUUUCUGAAGUGUGAUUCUUACCUCUCCUUUUCUUUUAAACAGCAUUACUUGUGGUUUGAGGGUCUCUCUCCUGUUUUAAUUGCCUGCAGAUGCAUUUUAGUAGAUGAGAACGA